UCCAGGGGCAUCUUUGACAUCCAGCCAUUGUUACCUUAAUGAUGCGAGCCAAACCAAAAUCAGCCACUUUACACACCAGGUCUUCUCCGACCAGGAUGUUUCGAGCGGCAAGGUCCCUGUGGACAAUGUGUCGAUCUUCCAGCUCAAAGUCUUUGGAUUAUCUCAAGUCAAAGUGGAGAACUCAAUGAUCUGGACUGUGGACUUCAGCUUUGAUCGUCAAAGCGUGACAGCUUCCCAGACUUCCCCAAAAUGGCCCUCCCCCAGCUUCUUGAGUAGCUGAAACUCCUCCCUCGGCCGCUCCCACGGCUCCAUGUCAAACAACUCUCUCUGCACGUGGACACACAUGCAACAAAGCUGAC